rnacentral:rRNA from 1 species
AUGAAUCACGAAGAUGGCGCUGAUGCUUGGGGUUCUCAAAGGCCGGAAACACCCCCUUGGGAUGCAACAGAGUACAGUCAACUCAUCUCUUCAGGGCCGUUGCUGCCACUACUAGAGCAGUAUGCAGGCGUAGGUUCUUAUGACCAAAACACAAUUAGGGGGCCCCCGUGGCAAGUUCACUCACAAGGCGCUAACACUGACAAAUGUAUGGGCAGCGAACUUCAACUAGCUUGUAUGGAUAAUCAAGAGCCUUCAUGCAGCGCGUGGCAUCAGGCAACACCAAUGUACCUGCCAUCGACGUCAUACACAGGUUAUUACGCUGGUGGUAACCCGACAAACGUCUCGUGGCAAGCUUCAGAAACUGCAGGUGGAGCACGUCAUUUUGGUGUCACAGACCACACAAGAAGGUCAAAUGCAACACAACAAGGGCCUACAACUACAGUUAACAGCGGCGCGGGGACAUCUACUGCGGGGAGCUCUGAGCGCACGGAAGACGCGUUCCACCAGCCAGCAGACAAUCAUGCCGCAGACAAUUUCGAGUCACAGUCGAGAAUGGCAAUCAUUCCAGCAAUACUGACAAGCACCCCUUUGAACACAAGCACUGCCAACACUCAAGUGGAUGGAAUUGCCGCCGAUACUGAAGUGAAUGAUGAAACUGACGACGAGGCAAAAGGGGAUGAAGAUGGCGGGCAAUCAGAGAUCAUGGUACCUCAGCCACCGUACAUUGGGCAGAGAUUUGAAUCAUUCAAAGAAGCAAAGGAAUACUACCAGACAUAUGCAAAGUUCCAUGGAUUUGUGGUCAACACCGAGUACCAUAGGAAAAUUAAGAAAACAAAUGAGUACAACAGAGGUGAGAUGAGGUGCCACAAGGCACGGAGGAACAAGAAGGGGAAAGGUGAUGCGCCUGUCGUUCCUGAAUGA